AUUGAACGCUGGCGGCAUGCUUUACACAUGCAAGUCGAACGGUAACAGGCCGCAAGGUGCUGACGAGUGGCGAACGGGUGAGUAAUGCAUCGGAACGUGCCCAGUCGUGGGGGAUAACUACUCGAAAGAGUAGCUAAUACCGCAUACGAUCUAUGGAUGAAAGCGGGGGACCGUAAGGCCUCGCGCGAUUGGAGCGGCCGCUGUCAGAUUAGGUAGUUUGUGGGGUAAAGGCUCACCAAGCCAACGAUCUGUAGCUGGUCUGAGAGGACAACCAGCCACACUGGGACUGAGACACGGCCCAGACACCUACGGGCGGCAGCAGUGGGGAAUGUUGGACAAUGGGCGCAAGCCCGAUCCAGCAAUGCCGCGUGCAGGAAGAAGGCCUUCGGAUUGUAAACUGCUUUUGUACGGAACGAAACGGCUCUGGUUAAUACCCGGGGCUAAUGACGGUACCGUAAGAAUAAGCACCGGCUAACUACGUG
rnacentral:rRNA from 1 species